rnacentral:rRNA from 1 species
GUGACCGAAAUACCCUAAAAUCACCAGAUCCCUUCUGAUCUUGGAAGCUACAUAGGGUCAGCUCUGGUUAGUACUUGGAUGGGAGACUGCCAAUAAAUGCCAGGUGCUGAGGGCU